GGUGGUGAAUAUGAUAGAUAAGAAAAUUCUGAAACCUCUCCCCCUCAGCAGUUUGCUCUCUGCGGGCACACGAUGACAAAAUCUCCUGAAGCGAACCACUGUCUGACCUCAGU
rnacentral:snoRNA from 1 species